rnacentral:rRNA from 1 species
CCUACGGGAGGCAGCAGUGAGGAAUAUUGGUCAAUGGGCGAGAGCCUGAACCAGCCAAGUCGCGUGAGGGAGUACUGCCCUAUGGGUUGUAAACCUCUUUUGUCGGGGAGCAAAAGCCGGACGUGUCCGGCUGUGAGAGUACCCGAAGAAAAAGCAUCGGCUAACUCCGCGCCAGCAGCCGCGGUAAUACGGAGGAUGCGAGCGUUAUCCGGAUUUAUUGGGUUUAAAGGGUGCGCAGGCGGAUUUUUAAGUCAGCGGUAAAAUCGUGGGGCUCAACCCCGUCCAGCCGUUGAAACUGGGGAUCUAGAGUGUGCGAGAGGUAGGCGGAAUGCGUGGUGUAGCGGUGAAAUGCAUAGAUAUCACGCAGAACCCCGAUUGCGAAGGCAGCAUACCGGUGCACAACUGACGCUCAGGCACGAAAGCGUGGGUAUCGAACAGGAUUAGAUACCCCAGUAGUC